rnacentral:rRNA from 1 species
UGCAGUCGAGCGGAAACGAUGUAGCUUGCUACAGGCGUCGAGCGGCGGACGGGUGAGUAACGCGUAGGAACCUACCUAGUAGUUUGGGAUAGCCAUUGGAAACGAUGAUUAAUACCGGAUACGCCCCACGGGGGAAAGCAGAGGAUCUUCGGACUUUGCGCUAUUAGAUGGGCCUGCGUGAGAUUAGCUUGUUGGUGAGGUAAUGGCUCACCAAGGCAACGAUCUUUAGCUGGUUUGAGAGGAUGAUCAGCCACACUGGGACUGAGACACGGCCCAGACUCCUACGGGAGGCAGCAGUGGGGAAUAUUGCACAAUGGGCGAAAGCCUGAUGCAGCCAUACCGCGUGUGUGAAGAAGGCUCUAGGGUUGUAAAGCACUUUCAGUAGGGAGGAAAGGUUGUAGAUUAAUACUCUGCAGCUGUGACGUUACCUACAGAAGAAGGACCGGCUAACUCCGUGCCAGCAGCCGCGGUAAUACGGAGGGUCCGAGCGUUAAUCGGAAUUACUGGGCGUAAAGCGUACGUAGGUGGUUUGUUAAGUUGGAUGUGAAAGCCCAGGGCUCAACCUUGGAACUGCAUUCAAAACUGAUGAACUAGAAUAUGGUAGAGGUAAGUGGAAUUUCCUGUGUAGCGGUGAAAUGCGUA